UUAAAUUGAAGAGUUUGAUCAUGGCUCAGAUUGAACGCUGGCGGCAGGCCUAACACAUGCAAGUCGAACGGUAACAGGAAGCAGCUUGCUGCUUUGCUGACGAGUGGCGGACGGGUGAGUAAUGUCUGGGAAACUGCCUGAUGGAGGGGGAUAACUACUGGAAACGGUGGCUAAUACCGCAUAACGUCGCAAGACCAAAGAGGGGGACCUUCGGGCCUCUUGCCAUCAGAUGUGCCCAGAUGGGAUUAGCUUGUUGGUGAGGUAACGGCUCACCAAGGCGACGAUCCCUAGCUGGUCUGAGAGGAUGACCAGCCACACUGGAACUGAGACACGGUCCAGACUCCUACGGGAGGCAGCAGUGGGGAAUAUUGCACAAUGGGCGCAAGCCUGAUGCAGCCAUGCCGCGUGUAUGAAGAAGGCCUUCGGGUUGUAAAGUACUUUCAGCGGGGAGGAAGGUGUUGUGGUUAAUAACCACAGCAAUUGACGUUACCCGCAGAAGAAGCACCGGCUAACUCCGUGCCAGCAGCCGCGGUAAUACGGAGGGUGCAAGCGUUAAUCGGAAUUACUGGGCGUAAAGCGCACGCAGGCGGUCUGUCAAGUCGGAUGUGAAAUCCCCGGGCUCAACCUGGGAACUGCAUUCGAAACUGGCAGGCUUGAGUCUUGUAGAGGGGGGUAGAAUUCCAGGUGUAGCGGUGAAAUGCGUAGAGAUCUGGAGGAAUACCGGUGGCGAAGGCGGCCCCCUGGACAAAGACUGACGCUCAGGUGCGAAAGCGUGGGGAGCAAACAGGAUUAGAUACCCUGGUAGUCCACGCCGUAAACGAUGUCUACUUGGAGGUUGUGCCCUUGAGGCGUGGCUUCCGGAGCUAACGCGUUAAGUAGACCGCCUGGGGAGUACGGCCGCAAGGUUAAAACUCAAAUGAAUUGACGGGGGCCCGCACAAGCGGUGGAGCAUGUGGUUUAAUUCGAUGCAACGCGAAGAACCUUACCUGGUCUUGACAUCCACAGAACUUUCCAGAGAUGGAUUGGUGCCUUCGGGAACUGUGAGACAGGUGCUGCAUGGCUGUCGUCAGCUCGUGUUGUGAAAUGUUGGGUUAAGUCCCGCAACGAGCGCAACCCUUAUCCUUUGUUGCCAGCGAUUAGGUCGGGAACUCAAAGGAGACUGCCAGUGAUAAACUGGAGGAAGGUGGGGAUGACGUCAAGUCAUCAUGGCCCUUACGACCAGGGCUACACACGUGCUACAAUGGCGCAUACAAAGAGAAGCGACCUCGCGAGAGCAAGCGGACCUCAUAAAGUGCGUCGUAGUCCGGAUUGGAGUCUGCAACUCGACUCCAUGAAGUCGGAAUCGCUAGUAAUCGUGGAUCAGAAUGCCACGGUGAAUACGUUCCCGGGCCUUGUACACACCGCCCGUCACACCAUGGGAGUGGGUUGCAAAAGAAGUAGGUAGCUUAACCUUCGGGAGGGCGCUUACCACUUUGUGAUUCAUGACUGGGGUGAAGUCGUAACAAGGUAACCGUAGGGGAACCUGCGGUUGGAUCACCUCCUUACCUGAAAGAA
rnacentral:rRNA from 1 species